rnacentral:rRNA from 1 species
GACGAACGCUGGCGGCGCGCCUAACACAUGCAAGUCGAACGAGCGAGCGAGAGCUUGCUUUCUCGAGCGAGUGGCGAACGGGUGAGUAACGCGUGAGGAACCUGCCUCAAAGAGGGGGACAACAGUUGGAAACGACUGCUAAUACCGCAUAAGCCCACGACCCGGCCUCGGUUAGAGGGAAAAGGAGCAAUCGGCUUUGGGAUGGCCUCGCGUCCGAUUAGCUAGUUGGUGAGGUAACGGGCCACCACGGCGACGAUCGGUAGCCGGACUGAGAGGUUGAACGGACACAUUGGGAGUGAGACACGGACCAGAAUCCUACGGGAGGGAGCAGUGGGGAAUAUUGCAAAAUGGGGGAAACCCUGAUGCAGCGACGCCGCGUGGAGGAAGAAGGUCUUCGGAUUGUAAACUCCUGUUGUUGAGGAAGAUAAUGACGGUACUCAACAAGGAAGUGACGGCUAACUACGUG